rnacentral:tRNA from 1 species
GCCUGGGUGGCUCAGUCGGUUAAGCGUCUGACUUCGGCUCAGGUCAUGAUCUCACGGUUCGUGGGUUCAAGCCCCAUAUCGGGCC